AGGACCUCCCACCUACUCAAGUCCACCUGUCUGGCUGAAGCUCACGUAGGACUGCUGACCUCACAUCAGGGGAAGAUCACCAUGGGCUCCCUCUGCUGCUGUCUUAUCCCCCUGGCACUGUGAGAAGAGCAUUUUCCCAUGGAAUCCUGGACCUCUGACCUUUGAGAGAGUUACACACACCAUAACCCAGAGCAGAUGAAAUUGGACAUGCAGACUGUUUCCUCCUAUCACAUAGAACAGCCGUCCUCAACCUUUUUGGCACCAGCCAGGGGCCAGUAUUGUGGAAGACAAUUUUUCCCCAGACUUGGUGUGUUUGUGUGUGUGGCGGGGGGGGAGGUGGUUUGGGGAUGAUUUGAGCACAUUACAUUUAUUCUGACUUUAUUUCUAAUCUAAUGCUGCCACUAAUCUGGCAGGAGGUAUGGGCCCAUGGCCCGGAGGUUGGAGACCAUGACAUAGAAGAUAGAAGCAGAAUGUGAGUCUAGCUGUGUCCUUCCAGCUGAGUCAUGGCGCAGGCCCCCAGUGUCCACAAGGAGCAGCCCAAAGUGACACCAAUGCCUUCACCAAGGGAGCCAGCUGUGGCCUCACUCACCACAAAUACUGCACACCACGGAAAACAAAAGGAGAGUGCUGGAUGUACCUCACUGGAAGGGAAAGGCAAGGAGACUUCUCUCUGCUCUGCCCUCCCAUCCACCUGCCAUCAGCAGCUGUCACAGUUUGGGCUGACCAGGCAGAGGCCUAAAGAGGAGGUAGAGACUCCUGUGUAAGUCGCCUGACUACAUGUUCUUUGGCAACCCCACCCCCGCCUCGGCAGGACACCCCUGGUGAUGUUCACACAGCCAGACUUUACUAUCCCUUUGGGAGCUAAAUUGUGAGUGUGCAACCAAGAAAGUGAGUGUGUGUGUGUGUGUGUGUGUGUGUGUGUGUAUGUGACGGGGCAGGGGUGGUGGGGUAGUGGGUGCCUCUUCAGACGCUGGACACUGCUCCCAUACACCAUAGAAGAAAUAUCAACUUAUUGGUAAUUGUGUAAUAAAUUACAAUU
rnacentral:lncRNA from 1 species